rnacentral:misc_RNA from 1 species
GCUACAAGGUACUUCAUAAAGAAAACUGCAACCCUCAGAAAUCAAAACUCCAUAGCAUUGUGCAUUCUAUCUUUCUUGCAAGGGACAUUCAAGAACAAAUUUUGAACACCACUAUACACACACAAUAAAAUAACAGAACAUAGUUAUAGGCAAAUUUAGAGGUUUACGUAAGUGUUGGAACAAGUUCAGAGAGCAAGUGAACAAGAGAGUUAAAUCAUAUUAUCAAGUUAUCGACCGACAGACAUCUAUAUGUUGUCCAAUCCUUGUCAUGUGCUCUACCCAUAGUAAUAAACCACUACUACAAUCUCUACAAGAAAUUAACCUUGAUCAACUUACCAGGGCA